rnacentral:rRNA from 1 species
AGGGCACCGCCAGAUGUGGAGCUUGCGGCUUAAUUUGACUCAACACGGGAAAACUCACCCGGCCCGGACACCGUAAGGAUUGACAGAUUGAUAGCUUUUUCAUGAUUCGGUGGAUGGUGGUGCAUGGCCGUUCUUAGUUCGUGGAUCGAUUUGUCUGGUUUAUUCCGAUAACGAGCGAGACUCCAGCCUACUAACUAGUACGGGCAUUGCCUCUGUGCCCGGCACUUCUUAGAGGGAUUGGCUGCGUCUAGCGGCACGAAACGGAGCAAUAACAGGUCUGUGAUGCCCUUAGAUGUCCGGGGCUGCACGCGCGCUACACUGGCAAAGGCAGCGUGCUUGUCCUUCUCCGAAAGGAGCGGGUAAACCCUUGAAAAUUUGCCGUGAUUGGGAUCGGAAAUUGCAAUUAUUUUCCGUGAACGAGGAAUUCCUAGUAAGUGCGAGUCAUCAGCUCGCGUUGAUUACGUCCCUGCCCUUUGUACACACCGCCCGUCGCUGCCUAGAACUGAGCCAUUUCGAGAA